rnacentral:rRNA from 1 species
GAUCCUGGCUCAGGAUGAACGCUAGCUACAGGCUUAACACAUGCAAGUCGAGGGCAGCGCAGUGUAGUAAUACAUUGGGCGGCGACCGGCGCACGGGUGCGUAACGCGUAUCCAACUUCCCGUAUCAGGGAUAGCCUUCCGGCGGUUAUGGAUGGGCAUGCGUUGUAUUAGCUAGUUGGUGGGGUAACGGCUCACCAAGGCGACGAUACAUAGGGGGACUGAGAGGUUAACCCCCCACAUUGGUACUGAGACACGGACCAAACUCCUACGGGAGGCAGCAGUGAGGAAUAUUGGUCAAUGGACGCAAGUCUGAACCAGCCAUGCCGCGUGCAGGAUGACGGCUCUAUGAGUUGUAAACUGCUUUUGUAUGAGGGUAAAUGUAGGUACGUGUACCUAUUUGAAAGUAUCAUACGAAUAAGGAUCGGCUAACUCCGUG